rnacentral:rRNA from 1 species
GGGGAAUUUUACACAAUGGGCGAAAGCCUGAUGUAGCAACGCCGCGUGGAGGAUGACGGAUUUAGGUCUGUAAACUCCUUUUAUAGGGGAAGAAAUUUGACGGUACCCUAUGAAUAAGCACCGGCUAACUCCGUGCCAGCAGCCGCGGUAAUACGGGGGGUGCAAGCGUUACUCGGAAUCACUGGGCGUAAAGGGAGCGUAGGCGUUCUAUUAAGUCUUGAGUGAAAGCCCGCAGCCUAACUGCGGAACUGCUCAGGAAACUGAUAGAAUUGAGUAUGGAAGAGGUCAGUGGAAUUUCCAGUGUAGGGGUAAAAUCCGUAGAUAUUGGAAGGAAUACCAGAAGCGAAGGCGACUGACUGGGACAUUACUGACGCUGAGGCUCGAAAGCGUGGGGAGCAAAC